rnacentral:ncRNA from 1 species
UACUGGGGAGCGAAAUUUGCUGAGAAUUAAACCCAUAUAACCUGAUACAGGUAAUACUGUCGGAGGGAGUAUUUUAUAUA